UACGUAGGGGGCAAGCGUUGUCCGGAAUCAUUGGGCGUAAAGCGCGUGUAGGCGGCUUGGUAAGUCCGCUCUGAAAGCCCGGGGCUCAACCCCGGGAGGCGGGUGGAUACUGUCAAGCUUGAGUCCGGAAGAGGCGAGUGGAAUUCCCGGUGUAGCGGUGAAAUGCGCAGAUAUCAGGAGGAACACCGAUAGCGAAGGCAGCUCGCUGGGACGGUACUGACGCUGAGGCGCGAAAGCGUGGGGAGCGAACAGG
rnacentral:rRNA from 1 species